GGGAGGACUUCCCACUCCCUACAUGUCCCACCACAGCUACCAGAGACCCCUUCUUCACCCUCACGUUGAUCCUCAUCAGGCAGGGAGGACCUUCCUUAGACCAGCCAAACGUACCGCUGUCUAUCACCACCCCAUCACCAUCUGGGCUGUAUGGUUCUCUAUCUACGUCGUCAGGCUUCAGCUCAUCCUGGCACAGGAACUUUCCCAGACGCCUCAGAGAGACAAUGGCCUGCACACACAAAUACUUGAAUGAAAGACAUUUCAAAUGAUUUUCAAUCAUCCGUUAAUGAUAUACCUUGCCAGGGCCACAUUGUUCUGUUUGGUCCAUUAGUGAUGACAUCACCAUGGCGUGACCCCUGACUGACCUGCAUGGUGGUGCUCAUAGCGAAGGGCAGCUGGCUGAGGGGCGUCUUCAAAAUGUUGAUGAGAGCCAUGGAAACGAACACCUUCUGGGCGUCGAGGAUGUUCUUAUCGUCGAUGAGGACGUAGACCCCGAACAUGGCGAAUGCUAUCUGUGGGAGCACAGGACAUGGUUAUGACAGCCCUAUGAAGGGUUAUGUAGCCUUAUGUAGUAGUCUCUUAUGUAGUCUGAGGUCAGGAAACAGGUUCAGAGUUUAGUGGAGAUGGAGUAUUGAUAACGUAUUGAUAGUGACAUCUGUAAUGUUUAUGACAGGCUUACGUAGGCUCUACGACAGGUCGUAACUCACCAGGAAGGAUGAGGAGUUGAAGGAGGCAAUGGAGAUGGAGUAGAGGACCUGGGAUCUCUUCAGGGCAUUGAGUUCUUUCUCCCGGUAACCCAGAACCCUCUCCAGGAAGGCCUGUUCCCAGGCGUAGAACUUCAGGAUCUUAAUCCCACUCAGGAUCUCAUUCAUCAGCUUGAUCCUGCUGUCUGUAUAACGCAUCUGGACUUCCUGGAAACACCACCCGGGAACACAGAGUAGGGAAUUAGUACGGAAUAUGGAAUUCAGAACACUGAAUAUGGAAUAAGGAAUACUGAAUAUGGAAUUCAGAACACUGAAUAUGGAAUACGGAAUACUGAAUAUGGAAUUCAGAACACUGAAUAUGGAAUAAGGAAUACUGAAUAUGGAAUUCAGAACACUGAAUAUGGAAUAAGGAAUACUGAAUAUGGAAUAAGGAAUACUGAAUAUGGAAUAGAAAUACUAAAUCUAGUUGAAGUUCAUGUUUAUUACAGAACAUUCUAGAAGAAAUGUAGUCUGUUUUUAUUAAAGACUAUGACUUCUAUAUGACCUUAUUAAAGAAAGGAUAGAUAAUUCAGGUCAAUUAAAUCUGUACAGUUUUACGCAAUAGAGGAUUUUAUAAUGGCAUACGGAACACAAGUAAGUAUGCAUGUACAUUACAAUAACGUUAAUACCCAAUGACAAAGAGCAGUGUGUGGUUGGAUGCUGUGUUUCCUCACAACCCAUCGCAGCCUAUUAGAGCAGUACUGUAUGAGUUACUGUGUAACGCGUCAAUGGAAACCAGACAUGGUGUAUGUAAAGUCAUAUUAGUUGAUCAUCAGCCGUUUAUCAAGCCUCUGACAGGGUCCUGAGGGGGACUAAGGAGCUAGAGAGUCUGUUUCUAAUAUUUAGGAGUAGUAUUACUGCCAAUGAUCGGUUAUCUGACUAAAUAAAGGAGAGAAUCUCUGGGUUUUAUUGGG